GAUUCCCCUAGUAACUGCGAGUGAAGCGGGAAAAGCUCAAAUUUAAAAUCUGGCGGUCUUUGGCCGUCCGAGUUGUAAUCUAGAGAAGUGUUACCCGCGCCGGACCGUGUACAAGUCUCCUGGAAUGGAGCGUCAUAGAGGGUGAGAAUCCCGUCUUUGACACGGACUACCGGGGCAUUGUGGUGCGCUCUCAAAGAGUCGAGUUGUUUGGGAAUGCAGCUCAAAAUGGGUGGUAAAUUCCAUCUAAAGCUAAAUAUUGGCGAGAGACCGAUAGCGAACAAGUACCGUGAGGGAAAGAUGAAAAGAACUUUGGAAAGAGAGUUAAAAAGUACGUGAAAUUGCUGAAAGGGAAACGCUUGGAGUCAGUCGCGUUGGCCGGAAAUCAACCUUGCUUCUGCUUGGUGUACUUUCUGGUUGACGGGCCAGCAUCAGUUUUGACCGGUGGAAAAAGUUCAAGGGAAUGUGGCAUCUCUUGAUGUGUUAUAGCCCUUGUUCGUAUGCACCGAUUGGGACUGAGGAAUUCAGCACGCCGAAAGGCCGGGUCUUUGACCACGUUCGUGCUUAGGAUGCUGGCAUAAUGGCUUUAAUCGACCCGUCUUGAAACACGGACCAAGGAGUCUAACAUGCCUGCGAGUGUUUGGGUGGAAAACCCGAGCGCGUAAUGAAAGUGAAAGUUGGGAUCCCUGUCAUGGGGAGCACCGACGCCCGGACCAGACGUUCUCUGACGGCUCCGCGGUGAAGCAUGUAUGUUGGGACCCGAAAGAUGGUGAACUAUGCCUGAAUAGGGUGAAGCCAGAGGAAACUCUGGUGGAGGCUCGUAGC
rnacentral:rRNA from 1 species